GUGGUUCUACUGACUGAAGUGAUCCUAUCUUGUGACUCAUGCAUGGCACGUCUAUAAGUCAAGCUGGAAUCCUCUAAAAUAAGUCACAUGGGAAAAAAUUCUGAUCUUAUUCUAGACGAAGAAUGAAAAGCCAGGAAGCUACAUAACCCAAGAGAGAAGUUAUACAUACUCAUGAAUCAAUGUGUACAAUGGAGAAUUAAUACUGAAAACAAAUGUAUUUUAUUCUACUUUUUAAAAAAUUGUUGAAAUGGAGCCCAGCCUUCCCACUACCACUUGUUGCAACUCCCACACUUCAUAUGUACACCACCUCUUUCCUUGACCCUUGAAAGACACCAUGUGGUUUUCACCUGAGAAUGAUAUAAAUAUGAACACUCUAA
rnacentral:lncRNA from 1 species